rnacentral:rRNA from 1 species
GCGGAUGGAGCUGAAGCCAGUCGCAGAUACCAGCUGGCUGCAACUGUUUAUUAAAAACACAGCACUGUGCAAACACGAAAGUGGACGUAUACGGUGUGACGCCUGCCCGGUGCUGGAAGGUUAAUUGAUGGGGUUAUCCGUAAGGAGAAGCUCUUGAUCGAAGCCCCAGUAAACGGCGGCCGUAACUAUAACGGUCCUAAGGUAGCGAAAUUCCUUGUCGGGUAAGUUCCGACCUGCACGAAUGGCGUAAUGAUGGCCAGGCUGUCUCCACCCGAGACUCAGUGAAAUUGAACUCGCUGUGAAGAUGCAGUGUACCCGCGGCAAGACGGAAAGACCCCGUGAACCUUUACUAUAGCUUGACACUGAACAUUGAGCCUUGAUGUGUAGGAUAGGUGGGAGGCUUCGAAGCGUGGACGCCAGUCUGCGUGGAGCCAACCUUGAAAUACCACCCUUUAAUGUUUGAUGUUCUAACGUUGCCCCGUUAUCCGGGGUGCGGACAGUGUCUGGUGGGUAGUUUGACUGGGGCGGUCUCCUCCCAAAGAGUAACGGAGGAGCACGAAGGUUGGCUAAGCAUGGUCGGACAUCAUGCGGUUAGUGCAAAGGCAUAAGCCAGCUUGACUGCGAGAGUGACGGCUCGAGCAGGUACGAAAGUAGGUCUUAGUGAUCCGGUGGUUCUGAAUGGAAGGGCCAUCGCUCAACGGAUAAAAGGUACUCCGGGGAUAACAGGCUGAUACCGCCCAAGAGUUCAUAUCGACGGCGGUGUUUGGCACCUCGAUGUCGGCUCAUCACAUCCUGGGGCUGAAGUAGGUCCCAAGGGUACGGCUGUUCGCCGUUUAAAGUGGUACGCGAGCUGGGUUUAGAACGUCGUGAGACAGUUCGGUCCCUAUCUGCCGUGGGCGUUGGAAGAUUGAAAGGGGCUGCUCCUAGUACGAGAGGACCGGAGUGGACGCACCACUGGUGUUCGGGUUGUCAUGCCAAUGGCAUUGCCCGGUAGCUAAGUGCGGAAGAGAUAACCGCUGAAAGCAUCUAAGCGGGAAACUUGCCUUGAGAUGAGUCUUCCCUGACCCUU